rnacentral:lncRNA from 1 species
CGUAUGUAGAUAUAUGAGCGCAGGGGCUGCUGGUCCGUCUUCUGGUGCUUAAAUACUAUAUGGUCUCCCGUGGCGUGGAGAGGACUUUUGCUUUGAAGUGCGUGUAUCCGCUGUGUGGAAGGUCCAGGAAGGCUCGGGGAUGCGGGGAGUGAAGACGUUAUUUCUUGAAUCGUCAGCUGACUUGCUUUCACAUAUUACCAAGUUGCUUCGUCCUGGCCUAAACUGAUUUAGUGGUGUCUGAUUUUUUGCAACCCUAUGAACCAUAGCCUACGAGGCUGGUUUGUCCAAGAGAUUUCUCAAGCAGGAAUACUGGAGUGGGUUGUCAUUUCUUUCUUCAGAGAAUUUUUCUCACCCAGGGGUCAAGCUCGGAUCUCUUUAAGUCUUCUGCACUGCGUAUCUUGUGGACCCAAGUGGGCUUCAGAUCAAAUUCCUCCUUUCAGAUGCUACGCACUGACUGAGCAAUUGAACAAGUUCGAUAAGCUUUCCAUGUCUCAGUUUUCUCAUAUAUGAAACGAGGAUGGUGAUAUGAUAGAAGCCUGUUGAAAGGAUUAAAUAAGUGCACCCAUGUAAAACUUGUAGACCAUGCCUGGGCAUAUGGCACUUUGCAUGUCAUCAUUGAGUGUAAGCUUUUACAUUUUGGCACAACACUGCAUAAAGUCUGGGUGUGGUUUUAUUUAAGUUACUGAUGGCUUGCAGUGUCUGUGGAGCCUCCAAGAGAGAGUAAAGCAAUCCUGUUUGAUCAGCAGUAAUCGCCUGGACUGGAAGGAUCUGAGUUUAUCAGCUGAUCUGAUCAGCUCAACAAAACAGCAAUAAUGGUCCAACUCCUUGCUUCAAGAAUGCUGAACUUAAAAAAAAAUCAUGGUUUUACACUGGAAAAUAUUCCCCUACACAUGACACGAGACCCAGAAUUUUUAAAAAGUGAUACAUAUGUUUAAAUUCAAAAUACAAGCAAUGAACUUUAGAAAAUAUAUAUGUAGUACAAAGAUACACAUGCCCCAAAACAGUAGUCUCUUGAUCCCUUCUCAUGUUCCUUUUUUCCAGGGAUAACCCCUUUCACUGCAUGUUUGGCUAUAUAUCUCCUUAUCUCUAAAUAAAUAUUGACCUUGCGAUUUUCCA